UCGUACACAAAACAGCAAAAGGCGAGCGUGCCGCCCAUCAGCGUGCCAAUGGGAUAGUCACGCGGGUCGGCGGGCCUGCCGGUAAGGCCGUCGACAAAGGACGACCGGCGAGAGACAAAGGCGAGCGCGCGAUGCCCUAUCCGUCAGCAGUUUGUGGCCCUUUUCUCGUGCAUUUUUCACAGGCCGUGUCGCACAAAAAAGAAGACCGAAAAGGUGGCGUCCGCAUGGGCACCAGACGCGCCGAGCGCAUAAACAGACCGUCACGUCGUCAGGCCGCCGGCAUUUCGGCAGUCGCCGCGGCAUCGAGACGUGCGGCCAAGGCGUGGUGGCCGUGGCGGAUAGCGACGGCGGCGGCUUCGGUCCACAGGCUCGAUAGGGAUCGGCGAAAGGGAUGAUGUGCGGCUAGAGCCAUGUCGUUUUUCACCACCGUCGUCAUCAAACCAUUGUCGCCAUCGCCGGCGGGGCCGGUGCAAUCGCUAUUGGUCCUGACACGGUGGCCACCGCCAUCGCAGUUGUUGUUGUUGGUCUUUUUCACGUCGAUGCCUUGCAUGGCCAUGUCAAACGGUACGUCCCAGCCAGAAGCGGCCGCCGCGCGCGCCCAGCCGC
rnacentral:lncRNA from 1 species